rnacentral:rRNA from 1 species
AUACGGAGGAUCCAAGCGUUAUCCGGAAUCAUUGGGUUUAAAGGGUCCGUAGGUGGAUAAUUAAGUCAGAGGUGAAAUCCUGCAGCUCAACUGUAGAAUUGCCUUUGAAACUGGUUAUCUUGAGUCAUUAUGAAGUGGUUAGAAUGUGUGGUGUAGCGGUGAAAUGCAUAGAUAUUACACAGAAUACCGAUUGCGAAGGCAGAUCACUAAUAAUGUACUGACACUGAUGGACGAAAGCGUGGGUAGCGAACAGGAUUAGAAACCCCAGUAGUCC